rnacentral:rRNA from 1 species
UACUCUAGUGGCGAACGGGUGAGUAACACGUGGGUGAUCUGCCCUGCACUUCGGGAUAAGCUUGGGAAACUGGGUCUAAUACCGGAUAUGAACCAUCUUUAGUGUGGUGGUUGGAAAGUUUUUUCGGUGUAGGAUGAGCUCGCGGCCUAUCAGCUUGUUGGUGGGGUAAUGGCCUACCAAGGCGGCGACGGGUAGCCGGCCUGAGAGGGUGUACGGCCACAUUGGGACUGAGAUACGGCCCAG